rnacentral:rRNA from 1 species
UACGUAGGGUGCGAGCGUUAAUCGGAAUUACUGGGCGUAAAGCGUGCGCAGGCGGUUCGUUAAGUUCGUUGUGAAAGCCCCGGGCUCAACCUGGGAACUGCAAUGGAAACUGGCGGGCUUGAAUGCGGCAGAGGGGGGUGGAAUUCCGCGUGUAGCAGUGAAAUGCGUAGAUAUGCGGAGGAACACCGAUGGCGAAGGCAAUCCCCUGGGCCUGCACUGACGCUCAUGCACGAAAACGUGGGGAGCAAACAGG